rnacentral:rRNA from 1 species
CUACGGGAGGCAGCAGUGGGGAAUAUUGGACAAUGGGGGGAACCCUGAUCCAGCAAUGCCGCGUGUGUGAAGAAGGUCUUCGGAUUGUAAAGCACUUUCACUAGGGAAGAUGAUGACGGUACCUAGAGAAGAAGCCCCGGCUAACUUCGUGCCAGCAGCCGCGGUAAUACGAAGGGGGCUAGCGUUGCUCGGAAUGACUGGGCGUAAAGGGCGCGUAGGCUGUUUGUACAGUCAGAUGUGAAAUCCCCGGGCUUAACCUGGGAACUGCAUUUGAUACGUGCAGACUAGAGUCCGAGAGAGGGUUGUGGAAUUCCCAGUGUAGAGGUGAAAUUCGUAGAUAUUGGGAAGAACACCGGUUGCGAAGGCGGCAACCUGGCUCGGAACUGACGCUGANGCGCGAAAGCGUGGGGAGCGAACAGGAUUAGAUACCCUGGUAGUCCACGCUGUAAACGAUGUGUGCUGGAUGUNGGGUGAUUUUAUCAUUCAGUGUCNGANCUAACGCGUUAAGCACACCGCCUGGGGANUACGGCCGCCAGGUUGAAACUCAAAGGAAUUGACCGGGGGCCGCACAANCGGUG